GGGGGGAUACUCAAGCGGCCAACGAGGACAGACUGUAAAUCUGUUGACUUACGUCUUCACAGGUUCGAAUCCUGUUCCCCCCACCA
rnacentral:tRNA from 1 species